rnacentral:rRNA from 1 species
CCUACGGGGGGCUGCAGUGAGGAAUAUUGGGCAAUGGACGAGAGUCUGAACCAGCCAAGUAGCGUGAAGGAUGACUGCCCUAUGGGUUGUAAAAUUCGUUUAUAUGGGAAUAAAAUGUUCCACGUGUGGGAUUUUGUAUGUACCUUAUGAAUAAGGAUCGGCUAACUCCGUGCCAGCAGCCGCGGUAAUACGGAGGGUCCGAGCGUUAUCCGGAUUUAUUGGGUUUAAAGGGAGCGUAGGUGGAUUGUUAAGUCAGUUGUGAAAGUUUGCGGCCCAACCGUAAAAUUGCAGUUGAAACUGGCAGUCUUGAGUACAGUAGAGGUGGGCGGAAUUCGUGGUGUAGCGGUGAAAUGCUUAGAUAUCACGAAGAACUCCGAUUGCGAAGGCAGUUCACUGGACUGCAACUGACACUGAGGCUCGAAAGUGUGGGUAUCAAACAGGAUUAGAUACCCCUGUAGUC